rnacentral:rRNA from 1 species
GCGGCGAAAGGGUGAGUAACACGUAACCAACGUACCCCUCAGAUCGGGAUAACCACUGGAAACGGUGGAUAAUACUGGAUGGUCCUAGGAAGGACAUCCUUCCGAAGGUAAACGGCGGCUUCGGCUGCUGUUGAGGGGGCGGGUUGCGUCCUAUCAGCUUGUUGGUGAGGUAACGGCCCACCAAGGCUAUGACGGGUAGCGGGUCUGAGAGGAUGAUCCGCCACACUGGGACUGAGACACUGCCCAGACUCCUACGGGAGGCUGCAGUCGAGAAUCUUCCACAAUGGGCGAAAGCCCGAUGGAGCGACGCUGCGUGUAGGAUGAAGGCCUUAGGGUUGUAAACUACUGUCACGCUGUAGGAACCCGUGUAGGUUAAUAGCCUGCGCGCUGACCAAAGCGAGAGGAAGUGCCGGCUAACUCCGUGCCAGCAGCCGCGGUAAGACGGAGGGCGCAAGCGUUGUUAGGAAUCACUGGGCAUAAGGGGCGCGUAGGCGGCCAGUUCAGUCGGAUGUGAAAUCCCCAGGCCCAACCGGGGAACUGCAUUCGAUGCUGACUGGCUAGAGGAUGGUAGGAGCCAAUGGAACUCCAGGUAGAACGGUGAAAUGUGUAGAUAUCUGGAGGAACGCCGGUGGCGAAAGCGAUUGGCUGGGCCAUUUCUGACGCUGAGGCGCGAAAGCUAGGGGAGCGAACGGGAUUAGAUACCCCGGUAGUCCUAGCCGUAAACGAUGGG